CCUACGGGCGGCAGCAGUGAGGAAUAUUGGUCAAUGGUCGGGAGACUGAACCAGCCAAGCCGCGUGAGGGAUGAAGGUACAGAGUAUCGUAAACCUCUUUUGUCAGGGAACAAAGGCGGGGACGUGUCCCCGGAUGAGUGUACCUGAAGACAAAGCAUCGGCUAACUCCGUGCCAGCAGCCGCGGUAAUACGGAGGAUGCGAGCGUUAUCCGGAUUUAUUGGGUUUAAAGGGUGCGCAGGCGGUCUGUUAAGUCAGCGGUCAAAGCCCGGGGCUCAACCCCGGCCCGCCGUUGAAACUGGCAGUCUUGAGUUGGAGAGAAGUAUGCGGAAUGCGCGGUGUAGCGGUGAAAUGCAUAGAUAUCGCGAAGAACUCCGAUUGCGAAGGCAGCAUGCCGGCUCCACACUGACGCUGAGGCACGAAAGCGUGGGUAUCGAACAGGAUUAGAUACCCCGGUAGUC
rnacentral:rRNA from 1 species